GAUGAACGCUAGCUACAGGCUUAACACAUGCAAGUCGAACGGAACUUACCGAAUGAAGUCUUCGGAUGGAUUUUGAUAAGUUUAGUGGCGGACGGGUGAGUAACGCGUGAGUAACCUGCCUUCAAGAGGGGAAUAACGUUCUGAAAAGAACGCUAAUACCGCAUAACAUACGGAUGUCGCAUGGCAACCGUAUCAAAGAUUUUAUCGCUUGAAGAUGGACUCGCGUCCGAUUAGCCAGUUGGCGGGGUAACGGCCCACCAAAGCGACGAUCGGUAGCCGGACUGAGAGGUUGAACGGCCACAUUGGGACUGAGACACGGCCCAG
rnacentral:rRNA from 1 species